rnacentral:rRNA from 1 species
CAGUCGCCGCGGUAAUACGAAGGGUGCAAGCGUUACUCGGAAUUACUGGGCGUAAAGCGUGCGUAGGUGGUGGUUUAAGUCCGUUGUGAAAGCCCUGGGCUCAACCUGGGAAUUGCAGUGGAUACUGGGUCACUAGAGUGUGGUAGAGGAUAGUGGAAUUUCCGGUGUAGCAGUGAAAUGCGUAGAGAUCGGAAGGAACAUCUGUGGCGAAGGCGACUAUCUGGGCCAACACUGACACUGAGGCACGAAAGCGUGGGGAGCAAACAGGAUUAGAUACCCAGUAGUCCCUGUCUCUUAUACA